rnacentral:rRNA from 1 species
CCUACGGGUGGCAGCAGUGGGGAAUAUUGCACAAUGGGGGAAACCCUGAUGCAGCAACGCCGCGUGAGGGAAGACGUUUUUCGGAUUGUAAACUUCUGUUCUUAGUAAAGAAAAAUACCGUUAGCUAAGAAGCAACCCACGGCUAACUACGUCCCAGCAGCCGCGGUAAUACGGAGGUGGCAAGCGUUGUCCGGAAUUACGGGGUGAAAGGGGAGCGCAGGCGGGAAGCCAAGUCAGCUGUGAAAACUACGGGCUUAACUUGGAGACUGCAGUGGAAACUGGUUUGCUGGAGUGCAGUAGAGGUUGGCGGAAGUCCGAGUGUAGCGGUGAAAUGCGUAGAUAUCCGGAGGAACACCGGCGGCGAAGGCGGCUAACUGGGCUGUAACUGACGUUGAGGCUCGAAAGCGUGGGGAGCAAACAGGAUUAGAUACCCGUCUAGUC